rnacentral:rRNA from 1 species
AUGGCUCGCAAGAAGGUAACCCUCCAGUACAUCCCCAAUGUCUCGACCCGACGUGGUACCUUCAAGAAGCGUCGUAGGGGCCUUAUGAAGAAGGCCAGCGAGCUAGCCAUCCUGUGUGACGUCAGGGCCUGCGUGCUGGUGUAUGGCGAAGGCGAGACGACACCGGAGGUGUUCCCAUCCCAUGAUGGGGCCGUGAAAAUCUUGAACAUCUUCAAGAAAAUGCCAGAGCUGGAGCAGUGCAAGAAGAUGAUGAACCAGGAGGGCUUUCUCCGUCAGCGCAUCGACAAGCUCCGGGACCAGGUACACAAGUUCGGUCGUGAGUUUCGGGAGCAGGAGAUCAGAACCCUCCUGCUCAAGGCCAUGUGCGGCAACCUCCCCGACCUCGUCAGCCUCAACAUUGAGGAGCUCACCAGCGUUGGCUGGAAGGUGGAAAUGCUCCUCAACGGCAUCGGCGAUCGCAUCACGAAACUCCAGGGACAGCCUCCGGCUCCACACAUGAUCGACAGCAUGGACAUGGGGUCUCCGGCGAUAAAUCAGGCGCCGCCUGCGCAGGAGGGCUGGCUUGACAUGGUGAGGUCUGGAGGGGACCUCAGUGCUCUUGUCUGUAGUGGCUACUUUGGUAGCCAUGAGGCUACAAGCACCAGCUCCAGCGUCGGCUACUCCGGCGGUGAUAUGAUGCAACCCUUUGAUCUGGGGUUCGGUUGGCAGUGGGACACCGAUCUUGGAGCGUCUUCGAGUCUGUUCCUUCCCAUGUAG